AAGUCGUAACAAGGUCUCCGUUGGUGAACCAGCGGAGGGAUCAUUACUGAGUAUCUUACUCUCUACCCUUUGUGAACUAUUAUACCUGUUGCUUCGGCGGCGUCCCCCCGGGGGCGCCCGCCGGAGAACCCAAACUCUUGUUUUAUAUGGUUUUCUCCUCUGAGUGGAUUAUAAACAAAUAAAUCAAAACUUUCAACAACGGAUCUCUUGGUUCUG
rnacentral:misc_RNA from 1 species